UACAGAGGGGGCAAGCGUUGUUCGGAAUUACUGGGCGUAAAGGGCGCGUAGGCGGCCUUCUAAGUCGGACGUGAAAUCCCCCGGCUCAACCGGGGAACUGCGUCCGAUACUGGUGGGCUCGAAUCCGGGAGAGGGAUGUGGAAUUCCAGGUGUAGCGGUGAAAUGCGUAGAUAUCUGGAGGAACACCGGUGGCGAAGGCGGCAUCCUGGACCGGCAUUGACGCUGAGGCGCGAAAGCCAGGGGAGCAAACGGG
rnacentral:rRNA from 1 species